UACCAGCUCACGCGAGCACAUAAGCUGCAAGUCUGCGGUUACAUAAUUGCCUUGUUGAUAGAUAUUGCGUGAAUUGUAUGCUUAUCCUCCUUUGGAAUUCGUCUACUGAAUAGUUUCCGCGUGUCGGAAAGUUCUGCUGCAUUAUUCAAGUAGCGGACGAUGUUUCGCCGUACGUCGCCGCUCCAAACAGCCUCAUCAGACGCGCGCCUUUAUGUGCGCUCUCAAAAGUGAUUUCUCCAUUAAUUUAUCGAUUACUCGCGUUCUUCGCGUGAUUCAAUGCCAAGAGUAUUUCCGAAAACAAUCCACGACCCCGUGUUGUGACAACCAGUGACUGGUGUUGUACAAGAGCGAAAGCGUGAGCCUUUUGACGGGCGACUGAAGAGUGCACUGCCAAUGCCAAGCUUAGGAAGCGAUGGCCCGGGCGGCGCGCAGGCACAGCGAGGAUGAUGAACCAGAGACCUGAUAUGCAGCGGUGACAGCUGUUCAUGACCCCAGCGCAGAGGAUUGGUUGCAGUGCACGAUUGGAGCGGUCUUUCUGCAAGCCCUGACAAGCCUUAUUAAGUGGUUGUAAAUACAGCAGCGGAGCCACCGCAACAGUACUGCAAGAGACCCUAUUAUCAGUGCAAAGUCGGAAAUUAAAUAGAAAUCCAGUUACUUCUGGAAAUGUCUCACUUGA